rnacentral:lncRNA from 1 species
GCCAUCCCUUCGUUUCCUCCGUCAUUUUCUGGCUUUUGAUUUUGCUGUUCAAGAAAUUAAUAAUGACAGAAACCUUCUACCAAACACCACCCUGGGGUAUUCAAUCUAUGACUCUUGUUUCUUAGCCAAUAAAGCACAGGAAGCCACAUUAAAAAUUCUAUCAGGUGGAACAAAUCACCCUUUUAAUUACAGCUGCAAGAAGAAUUAUACAGUUGUGGGGUUCAUUGGACAUUUUCUCUCUUCAGUAACACGCUCAAUGGCAGACAUUCUCUCCAUCUAUGGCUACACACAAGUGAGAAA